CAUUGUGGUACUCUGUUCUUUCCAGAGAAGAAAAAUUUCCUGCUGCUGUUAUCAACAAAACAGAAAUUAGAUAUAAUUAUCCAGAAAUUAAAGCAAAAACUCUACUGUUACCUGACUCCUGUGGGCAAUUGAAACCGAAAGCGCAUUUGCCACUGGAGAGCUGGCUUCAGUUGAGAAUGUGGUAGAAAUCAUGUUUGAGUGAGUUCUGGAUCCUAAGACUUAAAAGGAAGUCUUGCAGCUUCCACCUUGGAACCCUGAGACCAUCAUCCUGUGAAGAAAUCCAGAUCAGAGGCCCCAUGGAGAAGUACCAGAGCAUGCCAGCUGACUACCCACACAAAGGCUCCGGACAUAUAAGUGAACCAUCUUGGACUUCCCAGCCUGGUCUGGUCACCAACUAAGUGCAGCCACAUGAUAGCUGACAUUCAAAAGACUGAGGGGUUUUGAAAUUACUUCUGCUUAGAAACGAGCGUCAAGAAACCAGUUUUCUAUGGCAUACUGGCUGAGAAAGUACGCAAACACAGAGGUCUUGCUCUGAGGGAGUGGUGAUCUGUUUCUCAUGAAGAAAUGUUCAGCUGGUGAGCUGGAGUUGCAUCCUAGGAUGUGGCAGACGUUCCCGGUUAGUCACAGCCACUUCUGGACCACUGCAGACGUUCUUCCAGGGGGCAAAGACUUCAUCUCUAAGUUACCUCAAGGCUGUGAGCAUCUGAGAUCAUGGUUUGCAGAAGCAGCUCUCUCCCGAGAGAGCAGGAGGAAGAGACUGAAAAUCUCCUGGAGCUAAGAACAUACAAUGGAGAAAGGAAAGUCUCUUCAAUAAAUGGUAUUGGGGAAACUGGACAGCCACAUGCAAAAGAAUGAACAUAGACCAUUAUCGUUCACUAUACAAAAAAUUAACUCAAAAUGGAUAAAAGACUUGAAGGUAAGACCUGAAGCAAUAAAAUUCUUAGAAGAAGAUAUAGGCAGUACACUUUUUGACGUUGGUCUUAGAAGGAUCUUUUUGAAUACCAUGUCUACUUGGGCAAGGGAAACAGAAGAAAAAAUAAACAAAUGAGACUUCAUCAGACUAAAGAUCUUCUACAAGGCAAAGGAAACCAGAAACAAAACUAAAAGGUAGUCCACCAACUGGGAGAAAAUAUUUGCAAAUCAUAUAUCUGACAAGGGGUUAACUUCCAAAAUAUGUAAACGACUCACACAACUUAACAACAAAAAACCAAACAACCCGAUCAAAAAACGGACAGAGGAUAUGAAUAGACAUUUUUCCAAAGAAGAUAUACAGAUGGGCAAUAGGCACACGAAAAGAUGUUCAAUAUCACUAAUCAUCAGGGAAAUGCGAGUCAAAACUACACUAAGAUAUCACCUUACACCUGUUAGAAUGGCUAUAAUUACCAAGACAAGAAAUAGCAAAUGUUGGAGAUGAUGUGGAG
rnacentral:lncRNA from 1 species